GGAGGUGCCCUUGAGGCUUGAUAGGGAAUCCCGUGAAAACCGGGAGCGGACCCGCCGCCGUAAACCCCUUCACGGUCCUUAUGGAUCGGGCGUUUUCAUGACCCACUGGCCGAACGGACCGGGAAGGGGAAAACUGCCGGGAACAGCCGGAAGACCUGCCUGACGU
rnacentral:ncRNA from 1 species